UACGUAGGGUGCGAGCGUUGUCCGGAAUUAUUGGGCGUAAAGAGCUCGUAGGCGGUGUGUCGCGUCGGCCGUGAAAACCUGCAGCUUAACUGUGGGCUUGCGGUCGAUACGGGCAUCACUGGAGUUCGGCAGGGGAGACUGGAAUUCCUGGUGUAGCGGUGAAAUGCGCAGGAUAUCAGGAGGAACACCGGUGGCGAAGGCGGGUCUCUGGGCCGAUACUGACGCUGAGGAGCGAAAGCGUGGGGGAGCGAACAGG
rnacentral:rRNA from 1 species